rnacentral:rRNA from 1 species
AGUUUCUUGAAAUUUAUUUAGAAAUACUUUCUGCUCAGUGAUUUUAAAUAGCCGCGGUAUUUUGACUGUGCGAAGGUAGCAUAAUCAUUUGUCUUGUAAUUUAAGACUGGCAUGAAUGAAAUUACAUAGAACYUGCUUUCUUCUAUUUUCUUGUAGAAAUUGUUUUUUACGUGAAGAAACGUAAAUAUAGUAAAGGGACAAGAAGACCCUUUUGAGUUUUAUUUUAUUUUGAUUUUAAAAGUUAAAUUUAAAAUUUGGUUGGGGCGACUAAGGAAGAAAGAAUCUUUUUUUUUUAUUAUAUUUUUGAUCUUUAUUUUUUGAUUGUUAGAUUAAAUUACCAAAGGGAUAACAGCGUAAUUUUUUUUGUGAGUUCUUAUUUAAAAUAAAGAUUGCGACCUCGAUGUUGACUUUUAAUUUUCCUUUUGGUGUAGCAGUUUUCUAGGAGGGUCUGUUCGACCUUUAAAUUUAA